AGGUCCUAAAUGAAGCCUGGCACCGGACAACAGUCAAGACAGUGCAAGCACAACAAAAUCUAAAGAUCUUCUCUCAGGAUACCAAGGGAGUGCUGGGCAGGUAAGAGCUGGUGGGUACAGUGACACAGGUGACCUGAACAUGUAAAUGUCUGUGCAGUGUGGAGUUUCUAAUCUAGGGAGGAGCAGUAUCAUUCAAACCAUACAUUGUGAGAAUAAUUCAGAGGUGAUGUCAACUAUCUUGCUGCCAGAGUUUGAAAACACGAUUUGCUAGAG